rnacentral:lncRNA from 1 species
GGGGGCCCCCGGGAUAUUAUGGGGGACCGAUUGCAAGAAUGCAAUGUCGUUGCCGCAACUAUUUGUUCACAAAGGUUGAUUUAGGAAGGUGUGGUGGACACCGUGCACGAGAUUUACAAUCUUCUUGGAGAGGAAACAAUAAGAUAGUAAGGGCGUUGGCGAUGUUCCUGAAAUUUUAAGUAACGACGGUGUGAAAAUGUGUAAAAUAUUUGAUGUAAAGCAUUUUCGGGAUAUAAGGUGUGAACAACGGUGACAGUGUUAAUAAUUAACGUUGAGCAGUAUAAGAUAAUUAAAUCUUGGUGGCGUUGAAAGUAAUGUUGAUUGUGUCGAUAUGAUCUGUUUAUGAAAAAAUAUGACAAAAACAAUUGUAUAGAUACAAAUAUCUUUCGUAUUAGAAAUGUGUCAAUUAAUUCGUAAGAUGGAAUUGUAGAUGGAAUUUUUAUUAAUACAAGAAUUUACCGGAACAAGAAAUUUUGUACAAGAGUUGAAGCAAAUUUUUCAUCUUCGAAUUUUCGAAAAAAACCUGUUCCAUUGCGAAAACACGGUUCACGGAAUUUAUUUUUGCUGAGGCGAAAAUAUAUUAAAUCGAUCCGUGUGAAAAAAAUGUCAGCUACGCGGGCAAAAUUAGAGGAUAUUACAUGGAUGUUGUACAAGAGGACUAUUAUUCGUUCUAAACGAAGUCUAAGAACCUCGUAAACCUAGGAUACUAAAGGGGCAAUCUCGAUUUUUUUUUUUUUUUUAUCCAGAUCCGUGUGAAAAAUCACGGUAAUUUUCGAAAUUGUCAGAGUCUUCGUUACUUCUCGAGAGUAACAGGAAGUUUUUGCCCAAAGGAAACGUUGAAAGAAUAGUAUCUACGUAACAUUCUGUUUUUGUGUCAAUUUUUAAUCUUGUAAUUAAUAUAUUAAAGGGUAUGCAACAACGAAAUGUUAAAUGCUUAAAUUUACUUGAAUAAUUUAAUUUAACUUAUUUCCUUAAAAGUAAGGAGAAAAGAGAAGAGAGGAUACUAUUACGUAAAAAAACUACAAUAAAACGUGUGUAUUAUAAAACGUGUAUUAUAAAACGUUUUUAUAAUACUCGUAACAAAUUAUCCAGAAUCAAGAAAAUAAAAUAAAUUAUUUGAAUCCUUUAAUUGCUUAAUUUUCAUUACUGCUAAUAAAUCUCUAUGAAUCGUUGCACGAAGAUUUAAAAAGAAUUUUUCUUCUCUAAUCCUGGGGAAAAUAAUAAAAAAAAUUUAUCAAUUAUUCAAAUUCGAUCCAAGUUCGAUAGCAGCAGAUGAAACGUGAAAUAAAAAUCUUUUUAAGAUACUUUCUCACAGUCGGAUAGAAUUUGAUUGACCAGGAAAAUCAAUGCAGCAACGAACGAUCGAGUCGAUAGAUAAUUCUGAUCAAACGGACUUAAUUAGCCACGCAGGCCUUGUAACGCGAUGUUCCGAAAAAAAAAAAAAAGAACGUGGUACAAAUCCAAGGAACAAGGAAAGUUCCUCGAUAAUAUUCGAAAGGAACGAGGAGAAAAAAAGGUUCCGCGGAAACUGGCGGAGAAAGUACAUCGUAAGGAAGAACUGCGUUUCAACGGAACAGCUCAAAAAUAGAACGUUCGAUGCUUUACUGACGGAUAUUAAGCAAUUAAUUUUUACGUGCCAAAGUAAGAUAAAAUCGUCUUUUUACUUUUUAAUUUAUGGAAAAAAAAAAAAAAGAAAUUAUUAGCGA